rnacentral:tRNA from 1 species
UGGCCCGUGGUGUAAAGGUAGCACAGGGGUUUUUGGUACCUCUAGUCUAGGUUCGAAUCCUAGCGGGCCAG